rnacentral:rRNA from 1 species
UACGGGGGGGGCAAGCGUUGUUCGGAAUUACUGGGCAUAAAGGGCGCGUAGGCGGCCCUCUAAGUCAGACGUGAAAUCCCUCGGCUCAACCGGGGAACUGCGUCUGAUACUGGAGGGCUUGAAUCCGGGAGAGGGAUGUGGAAUUCCAGGUGUAGCGGUGAAAUGCGUAGAUAUCUGGAGGAACACCGGUGGCGAAGGCGGCAUCCUGGACCGGUAUUGACGCUGAGGCGCGAAAGCUAGGGGAGCAAACGGG